UGAUAGCACUUGCCAAUACUAGCACACAAACAAGCAAAUAGGGAAAACAGGCCCACAGGCCUUUGUUUGUUUUUUUUUCUUCCAUGCAUGGAGCAGCCACAGUGUUGGUUUUGGCGUUCCUGAUCUUGCUGGAGGGAAUUUACUGCGGUUGGCAGAUGGAAGAAACAGUGACAGUCGGUACAGAAAAUCUGUGAGAAGCCUGACGUGGAGGGAAAGCAUGAGCUCUUGGAGUGCCUACUGAAAUACUGUACUUGUGAAAGAUGUAAAAGUGGAAAGAAAGGCAGAGAAGAGAGAAAGAUGAGACAGAUUCUUCUCAGUGCCGUAGAAGUUAAAGAUGACAACUCUUGAUUCUUGCCUCCCCCUCUUGCCCUGAAUCCUGUUCUACUGCUGAGAUUUCAGUGAUUCAGAGUGACCUAAGAAGCUCUCAAGAGAUGGAGAAAGCAAUCUAUGCAGGUAUGAUUCCGUUGUGAUUACCAGAGUAACUGCACCUUAACUGUCCCAAAUAUCAAGCUUCUGGGUCUUGGAUCAGCUGAGUAGUCCUCCUCCCCCCACCCUGUCUGGAAACCCAUGUGCAGCAAUGGAGUGGCUCCACCUCUUCUAGACCCCAUUUAAGAGCUGACUACCACUGGGGAAGGAUCUCUUUUGGAAAUUGCUCCUCUCUGAGUCUUCUCAGCGAGUCCAGGACAAGGGUAAGCUUUCCAUCCAUUUUUCUUUAGCGUGAUAACCUGUUUAGCCUAACUUUCCUGUAUAUUUCU